rnacentral:tRNA from 1 species
GGGAUUGAGGUGUUAGCGGCAGCAUCCCUGGUUCUUACCCAGGCGGGUGAGGGUUCAAGUCCCUCCGGUCCCAC